rnacentral:rRNA from 1 species
GACGAACGCUGGCGGCGUGCUUAACACAUGCAAGUCGAACGGAAAGGCCCUGCUUUUGUGGGGUGCUCGAGUGGCGAACGGGUGAGUAACACGUGAGUAACCUGCCCUUGACUUUGGGAUAACUUCAGGAAACUGGGGCUAAUACCGGAUAGGAGCUCCUGCUGCAUGGUGGGGGUUGGAAAGUUUCGGCGGUUGGGGAUGGACUCGCGGCUUAUCAGCUUGUUGGUGGGGUAGUGGCUUACCAAGGCUUUGACGGGUAGCCGGCCUGAGAGGGUGACCGGCCACAUUGGGACUGAGAUGCGGCCCAGACUCCUACUGGAGGCAGCAGUGGGGAAUAUUGCACAAUGGGCGGAAGCCUGAUGCAGCAACGCCGCGUGCGGGAUGACGGCCUUCGGGUUGUAAACCGCUUUCGCCUGUGACGAAGCGUGAGUGACGGUAAUGGGUAAAGAAGCACCGGCUAACUACGUG